GCGCAGGCCCCAGAGGAAGCAAGGCAGCCACGGGAGGUGGCUGACGGCCGGGCGCAGGCGGCAGGGCUCGCCUUGUGCCGCAGGAGCGCAGGGGACAGGCACGGCGGAGUUAAAGCCCUUAGCCCGACUCUGCUAAAAACCCACGUCGCAUGGUUUGUGUGCACGGGCUGCUCCAGUUCGCCUGGGGUUUACCGCACAUUUUCAUCGUGCUUGCAGAAUUGCUGUUAUCACAAAUUGCAAAAACCGACCUCAUCCUCAUCUGAUCAGAGUGAAACCAGCACAGCUCUGCACGUCUCCAGCGUGUCUGGCCUGCUGAGCGCUCCUGUGGGGCACACGGUUAUUGCUCAGAGAUGCUUCCGUUUGCUGCUUUGGGAUUUAUUUCUUUUCAUUGCAGACUCUUUGCCUCGGCCUGUGAAAGCAGUUGGUGACCGUUGCAGCCAGGGUACUCGCUGCCUUUGCUACUGGCCAUGACAUGGCUUUUUGCUGAGGGCUGACAUGGCCUUUCCAUAUGCAAAUGGUGCAGUAAUACAGCUGACGAUGACAGAGAGCCUGAGCAGAGGGUCCGGGCUGCCACCAAAGCCCCGCUGAGCAGAGGCGCAGCCGGAGCUGACUGCGAAGCCCAUCCCAGCCUCUCCGCUCCCUGUCUCAUCGGGUGAGCAGCACCCCUCGGGGUCGCCCUGUCCCGCUGGGGCGAGGCGAGCAGGGCACCCACUAUCUCCCCACUGCCAGUGCCUGUGUUUCACCCCGAUAGCUCCUUCCAUCCCAAUAGCUCCUCGCGUCCCAAUAGCUUCUUCUGUCCCAGCCCUUGUCUCUGUGAUGGGACAGUGGUGCAGAUGAAUGAGUGGGGCUGGCAGGCAGGCAGUCUGGGAGGCCCUGGGUAUUUCCCAGGUGCAAAGCUGCUGGUUAAAGUAGUAUGUUUAAUAAUUAUUGCAAGUCCUGCGUGGAGGACACGAGCCGGAGGCACCACAUGGCUUAUCAGCACCAGUCCCCACGACAAACCUUGUGUGCCGCUGGGCUGCGGUGCAGCUGGGGUUGGAGGAUGGCAUGUGCAAAAUAUUGGGGAGCACUGCAGAUUUCUUUCACUAGAGCUUACCACACAUUUUUGGCUGUAAGUGAGCCAAGCCAGAGCUCAGCCCCUUCCAAUGCCCGCAGCCCUCCUGGGCGAGCCACUGGCGGGGGCUCUGCGGGCGGCUGGGCAGCAGGUCGGUGCUGGGGAGAGGAAAGCCCAGGUAACGUGCACAAGAAAUUAGGGCUUUCACAAGAUGCCGUAAUGAAUUGCAGCCCCAAGUUCCAGCCAUGCUCUGCCUACGCCCACAGCGUGCUGCAGGGGCAGAGUUACCCAGCUCAAUGCCACCACCGCCACAACGGCAGAGCAUCUGUGUCAAGGGCCAGCGCGGGGCCGUCAGCACUGCGGGAACACAGAGCCACAGCGCCCUGCCUUCAUAUGCUGUGUCAUAAGCUAGGAUCAUAUGGUACAUCUUGCAGCAGUAAUCAAGUGACUGAAAAUCAGGACAUGAAAGGGCUUUGGCAAUGCCAAAAGCAAAACGUAAGGAAAAACUUUUCCCUUCCCCUUACUAUGUAGAAGUUCAAUAUUGUGCAGAUGAUCUGAAAUUUUCUGAAGUGCUAAAGGCUGACUGUGGGACAUAAGUGUUUGAUGUUGGGUACAGGGAUCUUCUGCUUCUCAAAUAAAUGAGACACUUCUUCACAGGGAAGUCUUCGGACUUUCCAGGCAAGAGGUAAUGGCAGAAACUUGAUAUUGUUGGAGGCUGGCUGUAGGAAAUGCAACUGCUAAUGGCUAGCAUUGAUGUUCUGCUGCACUUUGGACUUAGAAGUACGUGUUUUAUUGUGACGGGUGAAGGGAAGCUGAACUUUAAAGGCUUCACUUGCUGUAGCAGGAGGCCUCCAGUUGAAUGUCCAGCUUGACUCCAGCCCAGUCCGCACCACUCACCGAGUCAGCCUGCGCCUGGGGUGCCCCACGCAAGGAAAGGGAAGAGCGGCAGCUUGAGCUGGACCCCCGACGCGGGCAGCACGAGUGCCUGCUCCAGAGAAAAGUGACAGCUACCUCUGGAAGAGUGACCGGCUCGGUACUGCUGCAUACUGGGGCACCGAACAGUCAAGGCCAUGAAGUGGGAAGUACACUGUAUUCCCUUGAUUCGGCAGGGCAAACACAGUCACCACCACCCCGUGGGGCUCUGCAGCAUGUCACCCAAGCACGGUGCUGAAAACACAGCAGCGACCGUCUGCGUUCACAGGAGUGUGGGAGAAAAGUGUCAUUAGUGCAAAUGCAGGGGCCAGAAGCGCUUGUACUACAGACGACUAUUGAUUUCCAAAAAGAAAGCGACUGAUGAAUUGCUGCAGGUCCAGCUCUAGAAGAUGCCCAAGUGCUGCUUGACCCAGCGCUCUCCACGUGCCCGCAGGGAGUGACUCCCCCAGCAGAAGCAGACAAAGAUGAAUGGCUCAUUUCCCCCUAAUGCACCACAGAAACAGGCUUUUAUGACAAAUAGAGCACAGACCAAGACGGAAAGGGCGACAGUCAUUUUCGAAGGUCACACAUACCAUUUCUUUAUGGCAAGUUUGCCUUCUGUGACUGACAAAAGCAGGACAGAUCAAGCGUCUUCCAACAGACCUGGAUUAAAAAUGAAGUCAUGUUACUUGGAGCACUGACAGUCCCACCAGAAAUAAUAGAGGCUGCUGACAGUUCUGGCUUCACAAUAAAAAGCAUCUUCCCACGUUGUCAAAAGAGCUUCUCUGGUAUGGGCAUAAAUAAGGCAUUAUUUGAAUGGAAAUGUUGAUGGCAAAGAGCUAUAAAUCAUAUUGGUCUGUUGUAAAAAUACACCGUAGCUGAAAAAUGCGUUCUUGUUUCUUAUACGUAUGAAAAUACAUGUGUGUGUAUAAACAAGAUAUGUAUAUCUAUUCAUAUGUUUAUACAUUUGUGUAUAAUUCUACGUAUGUGUUGUACACAUGUCGGUAAAUAAAAAUACUUAGUAAUCAGUCCUUCCCCUAAGAGCAAACAGUUGGUGUGAUGCACUGAAGUCUGUUGUGCAAGAUUUGGCUAAGUAUCUUUCCCAUACAUAAAGGUUGUAACAUAGCAACCAUUGUUUUCUGCUCAGAAGACGCUAUUUCCAAGCUAAUUGUUCCUAGCCUUAUUAGUGGCUGCUGUCACGGCUCUUGAUGCACUACUGAGCCGGACGAGAAGCACAGCGGCUUUGAUCAACUACAGUCUUGAUGAAGCUGGCCUUGGAGAAAGAGGCGUCGCAAACAAGGGCUCACCCUUUGAUGGCACGCUCUGUGGUGAAGGAGAUAUUUAGCUUAAGAGCCUGAAGUGUUGAGACGGCCUUACUGUGACGGCAAGCUGCGCCUGGCUGCUGACUGGGCUUGUGGCCACGGCUCGGGAAGAACCCACAGCCUGAGGCCACGCUGCAAACCCUGAGCCGAAAGCGGUCAGCUCUUUUACUAUGUCAUAUGUAUGCAUAAAUACGUACAUACAUAUACACACACGCAUCCCUGCGUGCACGUCGGGAUGAAGAAUUCCAGCUCUCAAUGUUCAAAACAACUUUCUUCACCUAAAGGACCAAAGCAGCUGACCCCAAGGGACAGUACCUGCAGCGUCCAGCUGCUGAGUCCGGACGAUCACCGCUACCAUGGCACUGCUGCUAGAAACUGGGGGUGCCCCCAGCGCCCCGGGGGCCGACACUAACGGGAACACCACGGGAGCAUCCUGCGGUUGCUGCUGCGAGCGAAACCCCUGGCAGGGAGAAGGAAGGGAGUUAAACAGAAGUACCAGCCCAAGUACCUCUCUUCUAGCAGGCACCGUCCCCGGAGGGGCACUGGCUACUCGCCUGGGGACAGGACGGGGAUCGGCCUGUGACCGCAGAGGCCAGGGCAGUCCCGACCCCGUGCCCUGGCAGGCAGGCACCCACAGCGGGCACGGCCAGCAGCGGGCACGCUCCCCCCGCCGCCAGGCUCGUGGCCGAUGGAAGUGUCGGGUGCAAUGCCAAUAUAGGGUUAUAUAAAUGUAAAAGCAUUUUAUAUAAGCCUAUUUUAUCUGCAAAUCAUUUAUAUUUAGAACACCUAUUUCUACUGGAAACACUAAAACCAUAUUACAUAAGAGCUUGUUUAAAUCCUUUGGCUUAAGGUUUGGGCAGGGGGAGGGGCUGGUUCAGGCAUGGUGCAUUCAGGCUGCGUUUUAUAAUCAGAGCCUCAACAGGCAGCCGAAAGCUGGUCUUGGAAUCCUUUUUGCUUUCACUCCACACUGCCCUGACAAUAGCAGAAUGCUUCGUUGGAGGGAAAUUUUCCUCUCCCUCAGUGCUGCCUUCAUGUUCGGAAAUUUUCAUUUGUAACGCUCUGGAUGUCUUGCCAACACAGCAGAGACGGCAGCUCAGCACUGCCCGGCCAGCCUCCUGAAGUCCGGGCUGGUACAGCAGGUGGGAACGCUACUGACAUCACCUGAGUGACUGCGGCGUCGUUCUCAGAAAUUAAAAAAAAGCAUUAAUUGGAACCAACUAUUUAGCAAUAUAAAAUGACUUACCUCGGCAUUCACGCAACAAUAUUUUCUAAUGAAUUAAUUAUUCCCCAAGCCCUUUCCUGAGGGGAAGGCAGGAAAGAUGGUGACAGUGGCCAUAAAAUACACGUAAAACUGCACCGGAGGCAGCUGAACCACUUUGGAUACGCGGCCACGUGACUGCAGAAGUCGGCCCUAGGGCCAGCUCACGCUGCUCUGCCACGGCCGUGAAAAGGUUUGUUUCCCAUCAUAUGCCAGAACAAACUGCUUUACUACAGGGUUGGGGUAAGACUGCACGGCGCUGCGUCGUUGGGCCACGCGACGGUAAGAGCCUGGGGGACGAGGGGCCGGUGGGGCUUCCCGCAGGACUCCUGAGGAAGCAGAGCAGCUCUGAGAGCCGAGGCAGAGACGGUCACCGCUGCGCCCUCCGGCAUCACCCCCGCAGCUGGGCACGGCGCGCACCGGGGUCACCGUCCACCCCGAGGCUGGGCACUGCCCCAGCUUCGCAGCGUGCGUCCCAGCGAGCCCCGCUCCUUUGCCGCCGCAAAGGCCAGCCGGCGAACCCCAGCACAGCCCAGCAUCCUUACUCGCCUUUCCAAGGUGGCACGGCCGGACCAUUGUCUCCAGGCGGGAUGUGCUACCUCUACCAAACGCCGCCGCUCCCCGGCACCGGCACACUUUGCUCUCCAAAAGGAGCAGCGCUGAGCUCUCCCGCUGCUUUCUCAUCUGGACGCUGCCUUUAAUCACCAUCACCACUCCAAUUCUCCCUGCAGCUGCUCCAUAUUCAGAUGACAUGGUUCAUUAGUUUCUAUAAAUGGCCAGGACAUUUCAUAGAUUUCAGGGACAAAGUAAGAGCUAAAGCUGUAAAUGACUUCUUCUCCUUACCUGAAGGCUUCUUGCAAGGUGACUCAAACUCUAGCAUCUGGUGGAGCCCAGUUUGUCCCACCCCAGCCAGCACCCUGCUCCAGCAGGGCGAGCCUUAACCGCUCCAUCUUCCAUUUUCCCUGCUAUAAAGUGGAAAAGACAACACACAAAUUUCUUAGGGGUGCGGGAGGAAAGCAAUUAACAUUUGAGCAUGCUGCAAAACCUGCUGGGACUUUCUUUCCCUCACCAGGAAGCGAAGGUGGCUUAAACUGUUCGAAACCGAUCUCAUUCCCAAAUUUCUGUGAGCUCAAAUUUCUGGGCGGGUGAUGGGGCUGGGGAGGCGCGUGGCAGCGAGACGCCAACCGGCUGCCCUGACACCUGGAGGAAACGUGCCCCGCUGGCAAAUUACCCAAGGGCACGAGCAGAGGGGUCUCCAGCUUGAUUUUUACAGCAGCUUCGUGAGUAUUUUAAGGAGAAGGUGGGGAAGGGCCGAGGCGGUCUGCCGCUGACCUGCUGCCACUGUCCUCGCUGGCGGCGUGCGGGGCAGCCGGAGCUUUCCCAACGCCAGGCUGCCCGAGCCCCCCAGGGGACGGGGGCCCAGUGCCAGGCAGCUGCCCUGCCGGCUUGCCCAGCUCCCCACCGCUGCACAUGGCCGCUCAAUUAGCUUAAGCAAAUUCUUCUCAUACUUCACUUUAGCCAGACACUGUAAAUUGGAUUAAAGUGGUGCCUGGAGAGACUUCUAGAGCCAAAUAUUUAAAACUAACAUGAACUUGAGCUGUUUUCUGGGCUGCCACAGGGGUGCCCUCCCCACCCCCCAGCGUGUGGGGGGCUCCCCAGCUCCAGCUCCGUGGGUUUGAAGCCAGCUCUCCUGCGACACUGCCCGCAGAUGCUAAAAUUGAUGUCAAAGCCUGCAACAGCAAAGAAGUUUAGCUGAAAAACAUAUCUUUCAUUUCUGCUUGGACAAAAUUUUACUGGGGCUGAUUGUUAAAGGAGCUGGGCAUCCCCCUGCUCCGGGGAACUGCCUGAGCUCCCAGGGCAGGCAGGCCGCUAACUCCAGCUAAUUAUUUCACUUUAAGCAGUCCAUCACCUUCUAUUAUUUCUCACCUGUCAUAAAAGUCAAGUGGUGUAGUGAACAUCUGUGAUGUUCAUGGAUGAGCAUAGCAUUUCAGCUAUUUUAUGGAGCCGGAAGGCAAAUCCGUCUCAUUUUUUGAACGUGGAAGAAGAGAAACCGAGGCCAUCGGAAAUACUAGUCAUGCCGGCAGUCUAAGGACCCAGAUCAUCUGCAAUGCUGCUGAGAAAAGUAACCUGCAGAUACACCUGGGAAACCCAGGGGAGCCCAGCUUUGCUGCUGCGGGACCUGCACGGUGCUGGGCAGAGCCUGGGGCAGCCCACCGGUUCCUGAGCUUUCCUUCCUCUGCUGAAAGGCUACAGAGCACUACAAUGACGCCUGUCUGGUUGUGGCACCUAACUGGGAGAAGACCAGAUGAUCGAGACGAAUCACUCUAUGUUAACCAGCCCAGCUGAAUAAAACUGAUGACACGGUCCUCACCCAAGGACUGUUUUGCAUCCAUCUGAGUCUGCAUUGUAUUGACAAACACUGGUGACUUGCAAUGUAUACAGCAGAUUCAAUUUGACCAUGGAAGGCAAAUAAGUGGAUAGCAGUUUGGACUCAUGGAAGACGGCAAUUUUUGUUUUAUCUUAAAGAAUAAAGCAGUUUGGCUUAGCCUCA